rnacentral:rRNA from 1 species
AUACCGCGAAACUGCGAAUGGCUCAUUAAAUCAGUUAUCGUUUAUUUGAUAGUACCUUACUACUUGGAUAACCGUGGUAAUUCUAGAGCUAAUACAUGCUAAAAAUCCCGACUCACGGAGGGAUGUAUUUAUUAGAUUAAAAACCAAUGCCCUUCGGGGCUCCUUGGUGAUUCAUAAUAACUUCGCGAAUCGCAUGGCCUUGUGCCGGCGAUGGUUCAUUCAAAUUUCUGCCCUAUCAACUUUCGAUGGCAGGGUCUUGGCCUGCCAUGGUUACAACGGGUAACGGAGGGUUAGGGCUCGACCCCGGAGAAGGAGCCUGAGAAACGGCUACUACAUCCAAGGAAGGCAGCAGGCGCGCAAAUUACCCAAUCCCGAUUCGGGGAGGUAGUGACAAUAAAUACUGAUACAGGGCUCUUUUGGGUCUUGUAAUUGGAAUGAGUACAAUUUAAAUCCCUUAACGAGUAACAAUUGGAGGGCAAGUCUGGUGCCAGCAGCCGCGGUAAUUCCAGCUCCAAUAGCGUAUAUUAAAGUUGUUGCAGUUAAAAAGCUCGUAGUUGAACCUUGGGCCUGGCUGGCCGGUCCGCCUCACCGCGUGCACUGGUUCGGCCGGGCCUUUCCCUCUGGGGAUCCCCAUGCCCUUCACUGGGUGUGGCGGGGAACCAGGACUUUUACUGUGAAAAAAUUAGAGUGUUCAAAGCAGGCCUAUGCUCGGAUACAUUAGCAUGGAAUAAUAAAAUAGGACGCGCGGUUCUAUUUUGUUGGUUUCUAGGACCGCCGUAAUGAUUAAUAGGGACAGUCGGGGGCAUCAGUAUUCAAUUGUCAGAGGUGAAAUUCUUGGAUUUAUUGAAGACUAACUACUGCGAAAGCAUUUGCCAAGGAUGUUUUCAUUAAUCAGGAACGAAAGUUAGGGGAUCGAAGACGAUCAGAUACCGUCGUAGUCUUAACCAUAAACU